UGUUUACUCGGGAUUUCUGUUUCAUAAACUGCUCCUCAGGCAGGACACUUGCUUUCUAUCUUUGAAUGGUUUACCCACAGACCAGAGGGUUAAGGCUCUCACCUUCUUUUCAAAUCAAAGAAAGAAGAGCCCGGACCUUUCCCACCUCCCUCAGUUUUUAGUAUUUAUUUCUUUUAUCCUUUUUAUUUUAAGCGUACUUAACCUGAACCCUGUCUAUGAGUAAAGCAAUCUUUGGAAUAUUUCCUAAUCCGCUUU
rnacentral:lncRNA from 1 species